UACGUAGGGCGCGAGCGUUGUCCGGAAUUAUUGGGCGUAAAGAGCUCGUAGGCGGUCUGUCGCGUCGGCUGUGAAAUCCCGGAGCUCAACUCCGGGUCUGCAGUCGAUACGGGCAAACUGGAGUACUGCAGGGGAGACUGGAAUUCCUGGUGUAGCGGUGAAAUGCGCAGAUAUCAGGAGGAACACCGGUGGCGAGGGCGGGUCUCUGGGCAGUAACUGACGCUGAGGAGCGAAAGCGUGGGGAGCGAACAGG
rnacentral:rRNA from 1 species